UACGAAGGGUGCAAGCGUUACUCGGAAUUACUGGGCGUAAAGCGUGCGUAGGUGGUUCGUUAAGUCUGUCGUGAAAGCCCCGGGCUUAACCCGGGAAUGGCAGUGGAAACUGGCGGGCUUGAGUGUGGCAGAGGGGGGUGGAAUUCCGCGUGUAGCAGUGAAAUGCGUAGAGAUGCGGAGGAACACCGAUGGCGAAGGCAGCCCCCUGGGCUAACACUGACGCUGAGGCACGAAAGCGUGGGAAGCAAACAGG
rnacentral:rRNA from 1 species